rnacentral:rRNA from 1 species
GACAGAGGUGCCAAGCGUUAGGCGGAAUCACUGGGCUUAAAGCGUGUGUAGGUGGAUGCCUAAGUACCUUGUGAAAUCCCACGGCUCACCCGUGGAACUGCUUGGUAUACUGGGUGUCUUGAGCCACUUAGGGGUCGCUGGAACAAACGGUGGAGCGGUGAAAUGCGUAGAUAUCAGGAGGAACACCAAUGGCGAAGGCAGCUCGCUGGAACGGUACUGACGCUGAGGCGCGAAAGCGUGGGGAGCAAACAGG